GAAAGGGCAUUUGGUGGAUGCCUUGGCAUGCACAGGCGAUGAAGGACGUGAUAUGCUGCGAUAAGCUAUGGGGAGCUGCAAAUAAGCAUUGAUCCGUAGAUUUCCGAAUGGGGUAACCCGCCUUAUGUGCUAGGAAACUGAACUAAGUUGGUUUAAUUUUCUAGGUAUUUUGAAGGUAUCUUUAUCUGAAUGAA
rnacentral:rRNA from 1 species